rnacentral:rRNA from 1 species
CCUACGGGAGGCAGCAGUGAGGAAUAUUGGUCAAUGGGCGGGAGCCUGAACCAGCCAAGUCGCGUGAGGGAAGAAGGUACUGCGUAUCGUAAACCUCUUUUGCCAGGGAACAAGGGCCGGGACUAGUCCCCGUACGAGGGUACCUGGAGAAAAAGCCUUGGCCUACUCCGUGCCCGCAGCCCGGGUAAUAAGGAGGAUGCGAGCGUUAUCCGGAUUUAUUGGGUUUAAAGGGUGCUUAGGCGGACUGUUAAGUCAGCGGUAAAAGCUCGGGGCUCAACCCCGGCGAGCCGUUGAAACUGGCUGCCUUGAGAGGUCGAGAGGUAUGCGGAAUGCGCGGUGUAGCGGUGAAAUGCUUAGAUAUUGCGCAGAACUCCGAUUGCGAAGGCAGCAUACCGGCGGCGAUCUGACGCUGAGGCACGAAAGCGUGGGUAUCGAACAGGAUUAGAUACCCCAGUAGUC